rnacentral:rRNA from 1 species
GACGAACGCUGGCGGCGUGCCUAAUACAUGCAAGUAGAACGCACAGUUUAUACCGUAGCUUGCUACACCAUAGACUGUGAGUUGCGAACGGGUGAGUAACGCGUAGGUAACCUGCCUGGUAGCGGGGGAUAACUAUUGGAAACGAUAGCUAAUACCGCAUAAUAUUGAUUAUUGCAUGAUAAUUAAUUGAAAGGUGCAAUUGCACCACUACCAGAUGGACCUGCGUUGUAUUAGCUAGUAGGUGAGGUAACGGCUCACCUAGGCGACGAUACAUAGCCGACCGGGAAGGGUGAUCGGCCACAAUGGGACUGAGACACGGCCCAGAUUCCUACGGGAGGCAGCAGUAGGGAAUCUUCGGCAAUGGACGAAAGUCUGACCGAGCAACGCCGCGUGAGUGAAGAAGGUUUUCGGAUCGUAAAGCUCUGUUGUAAGAGAAGAACGGGUGUGAGAGUGGAAAGUUCACACUGUGACGGUAUCUUACCAGAAAGGGACGGCUAACUACGUG